GAUGAACGCUGGCGGCGUGCCUAAUACAUGCCAGUCGAGCGAACAGAUGAGGAGCUUGCUCCUCUGACGUUAGCGGCGGACGGGUGAGUAACACGUGGAUAACCUACCUAUAAGACUGGGAUAACUUCGGGAAACCGGAGCUAAUACCGGAUAAUAUAUUGAACCGCAUGGUUCAAUAGUGAAAGACGGUUUUGCUGUCACUUAUAGAUGGAUCCGCGCCGCAUUAGCUAGUUGGUAAGGUAACGGCUUACCAAGGCAACGAUGCGUAGCCGACCUGAGAGGGUGAUAGGCCACACUGGAACUGGGACACGGUCCAGACUCCUACGGGAGGCAGCAGUAGGGAAUCUUCCGCAAUGGGCGAAAGCCUGACGGAGCAACGCCGCGUGAGUGAUGAAGGUCUUCGGAUCGUAAAACUCUGUUAUUAGGGAAGAACAAAUGUGUAAGUAACUAUGCACGUCUUGACGGUACCUAAUCAGAAAGCCACGGCUAACUACGUG
rnacentral:rRNA from 1 species